rnacentral:rRNA from 1 species
UGCAAGUCGAGGGGCAGCAUGGUCUUAGCUUGCUAAGGCCGAUGGCGACCGGCGCACGGGUGAGUAACACGUAUCCAACCUGCCCUUCACAGGGGGAUAACCGGGAGAAAUUCCGACUAAUACCGCAUACGUCCUUUGGGGGCAUCCCCUGGGGAUGAAAGAGUUAUCGGUGAAGGAUGGGCAUGCGUGAUAUUAGGUAGUUGGCGGGGCAACGGCCCACCAAGCCCACGAUAUCUAGGGGUUCUGAGAGGAAGGUCCCCACAUUGGUACUGAGACACGGACCAAACUCC